AUGCUGGAGGUAUCAGAAGUGCGAAUGCUGACAUAAGUAACGAUAAAGCGGGUGAAAAGCCCGCUCGCCGGAAGACCAAGGGUUCCUGUCCAACGUUAAUCGGGGCAGGGUGAGUCGACCCCUAAGGCGAGGCCGAAAGGCGUAGUCGAUGGGAAACAGGUUAAUAUUCCUGUACUUGGUGUUACUGCGAAGGGGGGACGGAGAAGGCUAUGUUGGCCGGGCGACGGUUGUCCCGGUUUAAGCGUGUAGGCUGGUUUUCCAGGCAAAUCCGGAAAAUCAAGGCUGAGGCGUGAUGACGAGGCACUACGGUGCUGAAGCAACAAAUGCCCUGCUUCCAGGAAAAGCCUCUAAGCAUCAGGUAACAUCAAAUCGUACCCCAAACCGACACAGGUGGUCAGGUAGAGAAUACCAAGGCGCUUGAGAGAACUCGGGUGAAGGAACUAGGCAAAAUGGUGCCGUAACUUCGGGAGAAGGCACGCUGAUAUGUAGGUGAGGUCCCUCGCGGAUGGAGCUGAAAUCAGUCGAAGAUACCAGCUGGCUGCAACUGUUUAUUAAAAACACAGCACUGUGCAAACACGAAAGUGGACGUAUACGGUGUGACGCCUGCCCGGUGCCGGAAGGUUAAUUGAUGGGGUUAGCGCAAGCGAAGCUCUUGAUCGAAGCCCCGGUAAACGGCGGCCGUAACUAUAACGGUCCUAAGGUAGCGAAAUUCCUUGUCGGGUAAGUUCCGACCUGCACGAAUGGCGUAAUGAUGGCCAGGCUGUCUCCACCCGAGACUCAGUGAAAUUGAACUCGCUGUGAAGAUGCAGUGUACCCGCGGCAAGACGGAAAGACCCCGUGAACCUUUACUAUAGCUUGACACUGAACAUUGAGCCUUGAUGUGUAGGAUAGGUGGGAGGCUUAGAAGUGUGGACGCCAGUCUGCAUGGAGCCGACCUUGAAAUACCACCCUUUAAUGUUUGAUGUUCUAACGUUGACCCGUAAUCCGGGUUGCGGACAGUGUCUGGUGGGUAGUUUGACUGGGGCGGUCUCCUCCUAAAGAGUAACGGAGGAGCACGAAGGUUGGCUAAUCCUGGUCGGACAUCAGGAGGUUAGUGCAAUGGCAUAAGCCAGCUUGACUGCGAGCGUGACGGCGCGAGCAGGUGCGAAAGCAGGUCAUAGUGAUCCGGUGGUUCUGAAUGGAAGGGCCAUCGCUCAACGGAUAAAAGGUACUCCGGGGAUAACAGGCUGAUACCGCCCAAGAGUUCAUAUCGACGGCGGUGUUUGGCACCUCGAUGUCGGCUCAUCACAUCCUGGGGCUGAAGUAGGUCCCAAGGGUAUGGCUGUUCGCCAUUUAAAGUGGUACGCGAGCUGGGUUUAGAACGUCGUGAGACAGUUCGGUCCCUAUCUGCCGUGGGCGCUGGAGAACUGAGGGGGGCUGCUCCUAGUACGAGAGGACCGGAGUGGACGCAUCACUGGUGUUCGGGUUGUCAUGCCAAUGGCACUGCCCGGUAGCUAAAUGCGGAAGAGAUAAGUGCUGAAAGCAUCUAAGCACGAAACUUGCCCCGAGAUGAGUUCUCCCUGAC
rnacentral:rRNA from 1 species